CGGUCACAAUCUCUUCACCAUUCUCUUCCGUCAACAUUAACGGCGUUAACGACUACCCACACUCUCCGUCACCGUACUUCGAAUCCUUCGCUUCUCUCUUCCGUUACCUCCCGUCAAACGAGUUAACAAACGAUUCCGACUCAUCAAGCGGAGACGAGUCAUCAUCACUCACCGACUCGUUCUCCUCCGACGAGUUUCGCAUGUACGAGUUCAAAAUCCGGCGAUGCGCUCGAGGCCGAUCUCAUGAUUGGACGGAGUGUCCGUUUGCUCAUCCCGGAGAAAAAGCUCGCCGACGUGAUCCAAGGAAGUUUCAUUACGCCGGCACCGCUUGUCCUGAGUUUCGAAAAGGAAGUUGUAGAAGAGGUGAUUCGUGUGAGUUCGCUCAUGGAGUUUUCGAGUGUUGGCUUCAUCCUUCUCGUUAUCGUACUCAACCGUGUAAAGACGGAACGAGUUGCCGGAGAAGAAUCUGUUUCUUCGCUCAUACGACGGAGCAGUUACGUGUUUUACCUUGUUCGUUAGAUCCAGAUCUUGGAUUCUUCUCAUCGACUUCUCCGACUUCGAUUCUUGUUUCUCCUUCGUUUUCACCACCGUCGGAAUCUCCGCCGCUUUCUCCGAGUACCGGUGAACUUAUUGCGUCGAUGAGAAAAAUGCAAUUGAACGGAGGUGGUUCCUGGAGUUCUUCUCCGGUGAGAUCUGGAGUUAGGUUACCUUUUUCGUCGUCUUUGCGUCCGAUUCAGGCGCAGACGUGGCCGAGGAUAAGAGAGUUUGAGAUCGAAGAAGCUCCGGCGAUGGAGUUUGUGGAAUCUGGGAAAGAGCUGAGAGCGGAGAUGUAUGCAAGACUCAGUAGAGAGAACUCACUCGGUUGAGUCGACUCGGUCGAGUCUUUGAUGACGUGGCGACUCGGUCGAGUCUUUGAUGACGUGGCGACUCGAUCUGAUUUUUAUUUUUUUGUGAAUAUUGUGGUGAUUUUUCAGGUGUGUAGAUAAAUGACGUGGCGACUCGAUCUUUAGUGACGUUUCAACGGAUGAUGAAGAAAACAGCUAGGAGGAGAAUUGAGAGCUAUUCUUCUGGCUUUUUUC
rnacentral:lncRNA from 1 species